AAGAAGUUACUGUCGGGGUUAUUUUUUUCCCCUUCUCUCUCUCCUCCCGCGCGUUCUCUCUUCUCCUCUGCGCGUUCUCUCUCUCUCCUCUGCAACUCCGGUUGCUUUCUCUUUCCGGCCACCAAAAAGCGUGAAACCGGUGGCUACGGACUCGUCUCGACUUCCUCUUGGCGCCUGCGGUGGUGGCUCACGGCGGCUUGGCCGGAAAACGAAGCAUCGGGUCCUUGAAGUUUCACUGUAGCAAAUUGGUCAACGCCGGUUUCUCCUGAUUCCGGCCACCUCCGGCGACGAACCAUAAUCAUUUGGAAGCGGCUUGCGAUGUAGAUGAUGCUCCCCAAAUAUUUUGCAGCGAUUUGAAGCAUGGAGGAAGAAUUGAAGGGCAAUAUUGCGAGCUACGGCUAGAUGAAGGAACUCGUUUUCGUGGUCGCCAACCAGUAUUUUUGCAGGCUAGAUUAGUUGAGGUCGGGCGUACAUGGAGUCGAGGCAUAGUCAACAGCAUUGCUUCCGCGUACUCAUUCUAUUUCUAUUUUCUUUGUUACCUAGUGGAUUAGUAUUGCUCUGAUAACCUGUGGGAUUAAUAUUAUUUUAUUUUAUUUUUGGGUUGAGACUGGUAUUUGUGACAUUGGAGUUGUGAUUUGGGGAGCAGGUGGCUCCAGGA